CAGGACGAACGCUGGCGGCGUGCCUAACACAUGCAAGUCGAGCGAGGAGAUUCCUCGGGAUGAUCCUAGCGGCGGACGGGUGAGUAACACGUGGGCAACCUGCCUCAUAGAGAGGAAUAGCCUUCCGAAAGGGAGAUUAAUACCUCAUAACAUUGCAGUUUCGCAUGGAACAGCAAUUAAAGGAGUAAUCCGCUAUGAGAUGGGCCCGCGGCGCAUUAGCUAGUUGGUGAGGUAACGGCUCACCAAGGCGACGAUGCGUAGCCGACCUGAGAGGGUGAUCGGCCACAUUGGGACUGAGACACGGCCCAGACUCCUACGGGAGGCAGCAGUGGGGAAUAUUGCACAAUGGGGGAAACCCUGAUGCAGCCAACGCCGCGUGAGUGAUGACGGCCUUCGGGUUGUAAAGCUCUGUCUUCAGGGACGAUAAUGACGGUACCUGAGGAGCAAGCCACGGCUAACUACGUGCCAGCAGCCGC
rnacentral:rRNA from 1 species